GUUUUAAUAGUUUAAAAAAAACAUUGGUUUUGUAUACCAAAUAUAAGAUUUAUUCUUUUAAAACU
rnacentral:tRNA from 1 species